CCUACGGGAGGCAGCAGUGGGGAAUUUUGGACAAUGGACGCAAGUCUGAUCCAGCCAUGCCGCGUGCGGGAAGAAGGCCUUCGGGUUGUAAACCGCUUUUGUCAGGGAAGAAACGAGUUUCUCUAAUACAGAGACUUAAUGACGGUACCUGAAGAAUAAGCACCGGCUAACUACGUGCCAGCAGCCGCGGUAAUACGUAGGGUGCAAGCGUUAAUCGGAAUUACUGGGCGUAAAGCGUGCGCAGGCGGUUAUGCAAGACAGAUGUGAAAUCCCCGGGCUCAACCUGGGAACUGCAUUUGUGACUGCAUGGCUAGAGUACGGUAGAGGGGGAUGGAAUUCCGCGUGUAGCAGUGAAAUGCGUAGAUAUGCGGAGGAACACCGAUGGCGAAGGCAAUCCCCGUGGACCUGUACUGACGCUCAUGCACGAAGCGUGGGGANACAAACGAGGAUUAGACUACCCGUGGUACGUCCACCGACCCUAAACGAUACGUACUACGUUGGUUGGUUGGGUAGGUUUCUCUACAGUAACGAGCGUACGNGUAGAGUCG
rnacentral:rRNA from 1 species